rnacentral:tRNA from 2 species
GCGCCCGUGGCUCAACUGGAUAGAGCAGCUGACUACGGAUCAGCAGGUUGUGGGUUCGAAUCCCUCCGGGCGUA